rnacentral:lncRNA from 1 species
UCUAUGGUCUUCUUCAACAUAUUCCAAAUCUCUGUUUCCUGGAAAACAGAUUCAAUCUAUGGGUUUUUCAAAAGAUUCAUGAUUUCACAGUUGUAAAAUCUGUAAUCAUCACUAAUAAUUAACUAAAAAAAGAGAGGUAAUUUAGAUUACCUCAAAGAGAAUCCCACCCGAAGGUGGUAGAGUUGAGUUUUUGACAACCUCAGAGUUGAGUUUUUGACAACCUCAGAGAGUGAACUCUUUAAGCCACGGUUUUUUAAGACCGGGCCAAGGAGUACCAAUCGAACCCUGGGGGGUUGUGUAAGAAGUUGAAUACCACAAACCACUUUAAACGGGAUCGAUUGGUGUUAUAAUCUCCAUUUUAAUUGUAGUUAGAAGGUUAAUAUAACCGGUUCCCGGUUUAGUACAUCGGUUCUUUAAUAUAGUUUUACAAACCAGAAACAACAAUUCGGGUUCGAGGAUUGCAUCGUCGUCAACACCGUACGAUUGUCUGAUCUGGGUUUUUUGUUUUCUAAAGAACCAAGAUUUUCAGAGUUCUUUGAUUGGAAUCUAAUGGAUAAAAAUGGAGAGAUGAAUAACGAUUUCAGAGUUCAAUCAUGUAGAGAAAGGCCAAAAAACAAAAACAAAAGAGAGGUAAUUUAGAUUACCUCAUUUAGGUCUAUCCAACCACAGUGGUGGAAGACGACAACAUCCGACGAGGAGUUUGAGUCAACCUCGGGAGAAAGGGCGCUCCAGGUUAAACUGGGAAGGUUUACAUUCCACUACGGGAAGAAGAUGCGCCCGGAGGCGGCUUAGUAGACCAGCUUAGUAGACCAUCCUCGAGGCUUAGUGCUCGGAGGACGGUAGAAGUUUCACGAGCCAUGAUGCUCGGACAGUAGAAGGUUCUCGAGGCAUAUGAUGCUCGGAUGAAGCCAACUUGGGUACCAAUAUUGCUCGAACCCUGGUGGGAGUCGUGCUCAGCUGAGACUCAACCACCUUGAACAGGUUCGAAUUGGUGUCCUAAUGUCUAUUUUAUUGGUACUUAUAGACUUAUAGACAUCGUUGGGUAAAUGAGCUAACAAAAGCCCACUAAAGAACCCAAUC